AAAAAAAAAGUCCAAGUGAACAUCACUUAAUUAUCAUCAACUAGUUGUUUAUACUCAUCUUAAACCAUUGGCAGGAAUCUUUGGAUAAAACACACAAACAAUAAAAAAAAAAAGCUUUAUCAGUUAAUCUAUUUAAAUUGAGUCCACGCAACAACAAAAAUAAAAUAAAAAGUGAACUAUCUGAAAGUAGUGAGGAUGUUGUGUGCUAAAUGUUUAACGUUUUAACAUGCCCAGCAGACACCACACCAUUUCUGCUCAAGCAAACCACAAGGUUUUGAACAGGACAACUAUGUCCCAAAAAAAAAAAAAAAAUGAGACCGUGUAUCUUUAUUGUAUGUAGCAAAUAUAUUGCUGCUGGUGCUGCUGCUGCUGUAGGUAGAAAAUAAAAGAAGUUUUUUUGCAGAGAAUAAUAUUCUGGAUGAGUUUAAGAAUAUUCUUUGCCAAAAUUACACAGUGUAACUACACUUGUAUUUUAUAUGUUGCAGUAACUGAAUCUUUUGAGGCAAUUGGUUUGCAUAAAUUUAAGUAAAUCCAACCUAUUUUCCUGCUCUACAUACUUAGCUAGCAAUUUGCCAGUUAGCUUCCCAGUCUGAAUUUCUGUGCAAUGUCUUUAUUCAGUGAACUCUUCUAUCCUGUACUCCAAUUCUAUUCCUGAACUCCGAUAUUCUACAUCCAUUUUGUGAAUGUUUUGCUUGCUUGCUUGUUGAUCUUCAGCAUGCUCUGAAGGCAGUAUCGAGUUUCUCUUACUUUAAACCGCCCAACUUGCACCUGAUUGGCACUUUAGCCUUUUGAUUCCCUCCCAGUGAGGCGGUGCUUCACAAAGCAAAUUGAUUGUCAAUCUGUUGCUCUCUGCCUGGUGGUUGUUUCAGAAGAUGAGGAAACAUGGUGACUGAGGUUUACAGCCAACUAGCCAGAUUAUGCAGCUUUUUUUUUUACUAGAUAGCGGUCCUAAAAAACUACAUACCUUUAAAAUAUGAACAAAUACGUACAAUUCCUUAAUUAUUUGAUUCAUGGGUGAUACAAGUUUGGUCAUUUGGAAUGCAACUCAAGGACUGUGGCUUCUUAAUUACAGAGUUUUGAAGCGAUGGAGGAAAUUUACGUCAAUAUGGAACCUGUUGAACAAAGUGCAUCUCAUCCCACAGGUUUCUGUUCAGGUAGCAGCAGCUCCAAAGAGAGGCUCUGCCUCGGUGUGGCCGUAUCUUUGGGAAUCCUGAACGUUUUCCUUUUGACCGAACUCAUCGCCCUCAGUGUACACACUCAUGACAUGACAGCAGAUUUUUCUGACAUCAGCAACAUUCUGACUGAGCAGAACAGCAACAAGUUUCCCUCCGUGAACGCUAACUUCACUGCU